CCCCCUCUUGUGUAUGUAAAUCCUUAAAAUAUGAGUAAUAUCUGUUCUCAUCAGUUUAAUAUCUGAUACGUCCCCCUAUUUGGGGACCAAAUAUUAAAUGCAUUUUUGAACAGGGAGAUGGAAAAAGGGCAUGCUCUGUCCACUCCACGCAUUGACCUGGUAUUGCAGGACUAAUGUAAAAAUA